ACUUCUUUAAAUUCAAUUCCAGUGUUUUCAUCAAGUUUUAGUUGCUGUAACUGGAUGCAUUUCAGUGUCCAUAGGUCAUUUGAUUCUGUGCACUAAAAUUUGGAUGGUUGAGUUGCUAGUUUGCUGCAUAAAAGGAGUUGAACAAGUCAAAAUUUGUUUAAAGCUGUUUCUGCAUCAAUUUUUCGUUUCAGCAAUUCUGUAUUGGCUAUUGAAACUUGGUUAUGCAAAGAAAAUUUGACUUCUAACAACUCUGCACAAUUUCACUCUUUCAACCAUCAAUUUUAGUCAACAAAUGUUUGAGAACAAGCUGCCUAAUUCCAAUUUGAUUGAGUAAUUUGAUUUGGUGCAUUUNAGUCAAUUAAACUUGUAGCAAAAGCUUGGCCAAGUGUAUUGAACAUUGGAAAGAAAGAAAAGAUGAAAAUAAACAAGAAUAUAGAAACAAAUAUCGUGAAAUAAAAAGCUGAUUGGCCAGUACAAGUGAAUUUGCAAAUUCUGGUGCACCAAACUGGUUUUUUUCUCUCAGGCAAUUUAUCAAACAGUUUCAACCAAAUUUUAUUUGCCUUCCAUUUCGAUUCUUCUGCAGCUUGUUUUGAUUUCUUGCUUUAUUAAUCUGCUCUAGAACUAUUCCUAGGUUCAUUUUGAUGUGCCACCGUGU
rnacentral:lncRNA from 1 species